CCAGCCUGCCCAGUGACAAAGUUUAACGGCCGCGGUACCCUAACCGUGCGAAGGUAGCAUAAUCACUUGUUCUUUAAAUAGGGACUCGUAUCAACGGCAUCACGAGGGCUAUACUGUCUCCUUUCUCCAAUCAGUGAAACUGAUCUUCCCGUGAAGAAGCGGGAAUUAUUGUAUAAGACGAGAAGACCCCAUGGAGCUUAAAACUCAAUAUAUACCUCUACGCAUUUAUAUCACUAUAGCCUAAGAAAAUUAUAUAUUAGUUUUGGGUUGGGGGGACCGCGGAGAAAAAAUUAACCUCCACGACAAAUAGGCCAACGCCUUUAUCUAUGAACCACAAUUCUAAGAAUCAAUAAACUGAUGUUUAAUGAUCCAAUUUUUUGAUCAACGAACCAAGUUACCCUGGGGAUAACAGCGCAAUCUACUUCAAGAGCUCCUAUCGACAAGUGGGUUUACGACCUCGAUGUUGGAUCAGGGUAUCCUAGUGGUGCAGCCGCUACUAAAGGUUCGUUUGUUCAACGAUUAAAACCCUACGUGAUCU
rnacentral:rRNA from 1 species